GACGAACGCUGGCGGCGUGCUUAACACAUGCAAGUCGAACGGAAAGGCCCUGCUUUUGUGGGGUGCUCGAGUGGCGAACGGGUGAGUAACACGUGAGUAACCUGCCCUUGACUUUGGGAUAACUUCAGGAAACUGGGGCUAAUACCGGAUAGGAGCUCCUGCUGCAUGGUGGGGGUUGGAAAGUUUCGGCGGUUGGGGAUGGACUCGCGGCUUAUCAGCUUGUUGGUGGGGUAGUGGCUUACCAAGGCUUUGACGGGUAGCCGGCCUGAGAGGGUGACCGGCCACAUUGGGACUGAGGUACGGCCCAGCCUCCAACAGGAGGCAGCAGGCGGGAGUAUUGCACAAUGGGCGGAAGCCUGAUGCAGAGACGCCGCGUGCGGAAUGACGGCCUUCGGGUUGUGAACGGCUUUCGGCUGUUACGAAGCGUGAGUGACGGUAAUGGGUAAAGAAGCACCGGCUAACUUCGUG
rnacentral:rRNA from 1 species